rnacentral:rRNA from 1 species
AUUGGAUGAGCCCGCGGCCUAUCAGCUUGUUGGUGGGGUAACGGCCUACCAAGGCUUCGACGGGUAGUUGGCGUGAGAGCGUGGCCAACCACACUGGGACUGAGACACGGCCCAGACUCCUACGGGAGGCAGCAGUGGGGAAUAUUGCGCAAUGGGCGAAAGCCUGACGCAGCGACACCGCGUGAGGGACGAAGGCCCUCGGGUUGUAAACCUCUUUCGGCAGGGACGAAGCGAUCGUGACGGUACCUACAGAAGAAGCUCCGGCUAACUACGUGCCAGCAGCCGCGGGCCGAAU